rnacentral:rRNA from 1 species
UACGUAGGGUGCGAGCGUUGUCCGGAAUUAUUGGGCGUAAAGGGCUCGUAGGCGGUUUGUCGCGUCGGGAGUGAAAACUCAGGGCUUAACCCUGAGCCUGCUUUCGAUACGGGCAGACUAGAGGUAUGCAGGGGAGAAUGGAAUUCCUGGUGUAGCGGUGAAAUGCGCAGAUAUCAGGAGGAACACCGGUGGCGAAGGCGGUUCUCUGGGCAUUACCUGACGCUGAGGAGCGAAAGUGUGGGGAGCGAACAGG